UGUAAAAUGUUUUGAGUGUUAAAAUAAAACAAAAGUAUUUUGUUGGAAGUAAAUUAAAACUCUUUCAAAAGUUUUUCUCCGGCUGAGUUUAUCAAACCCUAAUACAUCCACCGCCAUGAGUUUCACUCUAGCAGUUACAGGGCAAAAUAUUGUCAGAUUCUGGUUAUGGGUUUUUGGUAUGACAAUCCGCAAGGUUAAACGAGUCGAAUGGUGGUCUUAGUUGCCGAUUUCAAUGGGAUUUUGUGCAGAUAUUUAGGAUUUCAUUCUCCGGUACAUCUCUUCAAAAGAACAGAUCCUUCAUGCAAUCGUUUGACAAGGUUUAGCAGCAGAAAAUAAAUGGAGAACAAAGAAGGACCAAGAAAGAAAAAGGAUGCAAGAAGAUCGUGGUGAUUCUGUAUACUGCAAAAAGACUUAAAAGCUGGGAAAACUAAUUGGAAAAAGAAAAGGAUGCAAGAAUAUCGUGAUUCUGUAUACUGCAAAAGACUCAAAAGCUGGGAAAACUAAUUGGAUGAUGCAUCAAUACCAUCUUGGUACUGAGAAGGCUGAAAAGGAAGGCGCGUUCGUUGUGUCAAAAGUAUAACCCCACUUCCUUCUCGUCUUCAUCUGUACCAAGAUGAUACUCAUGCAUCACCCAGUUAGUUUUCUCUGUAUAUAAAAGCAUUGAGAGCAUGUGUGCUUCCUGACCAUCGUUGAAGAGGAUGGGUGUUUCCAUUGGAUCAAGAUCAAAUAAGUUGGAUGACAAGAUUUCUGCAAAGAAAGAAGAAGUGGACAGAAAGAAGAAGUGGAGAGAACCUUGGAGUUAUUUCAUCUACAUCUUGAUAAAGGAGGUUAAUUAUAUAUAGAACAAGAA